GAAACUAAAAAGAAGUCAAAGGAAAAGUCAUCUUUGUCCUGAAAUUAUACUCAACAUAACUAAAUAUACCUGCCAGCGCUGCUGGUUUUGCUUUAAUUACCAGGUACACACAUCGUUCAUUAGGGCCCAUGCCAGGAUCCGGCCUAUACACGCUUCCGCAAAUUGGCCACACUGUGUGUGGAAGGUGAAGAAUUGACCAUACAUGCGGAAAAAAGGCCUCACGAGGAGCAACAUAUAAAUUACAAACGAAACCACAAUGUCACCGUAGUGUCAUCCUCUACUGGGGCAGCCAAAGUCAAGCAGACAUCAUCAUACGACGUACCUGACUCUCCCUCGCAUCAUGUGCGUUGGAAAUUGACGGGUGCGCGAGAUCUGCGGGGCGAUAUCACCAGAAGCGACAAGAAGUGCGCAGAGGUGACAUUCCUAUAUGGCCAUUGUGGGUCGUCAUCGUCUCGUCAUCAUUCAUUCAAUCUCACCGGAUUCAUCGUUGCCGCAAUUUAUGGAAAUAAUGCACUGCUGAGGAAGCCAGCAAAUCCGUCCAUCAGAUCCGUUCACAGCGUGACAUGACACCUCUUUUGGGCACUCAACGCGCGGGAUUUUUUUUUCUCAUUUACCUUCAUUCACCAGAGAACCACAAGAUUAUCACGUUUCUCAUUUUCACUUCAUUACAGUCUCAUUAUUCGCAUUAUUCCUUUAAGGUGGCGUCAUUUGCGGAUAAUCUCUGACUUUGGAAGUAUUUGCUGUAAGCUCAAUUUAGAGAUGCAUUGGAAAAGACUGCAGCAACACUGUGAGGAGAUUGCACUUUCAAAGGAAUUGAUCUGACUACAGGAAUAUUAUCCCUUUUGUGGGUUUGUGCUUUAUGCAAUUUCCCAAAAAUAUCUUUUCUAUUCAACAUGAACGUUUUUUUUAACUUGGAAGCUUUUUUCGUAAAACAAAUAAAAUGUGGCCGUUUUUUAACGAAUAUUAUAGUAUUUUAAAAUUUUUGAUAAAUAAAUAAGUUCAAUUUACAAAUAAAUAUUAAAAAAUUUAAAAGAAAAAGAUUAGUGUUCUUGAGUAAAGAUUUGAAUAUCUUGAUUUCUUACAAUAAAGAUUGAUUGUAAUGCAGAUUUGCAUAAACUCCUUUUCCAAAUAAAUUGAAAUUGUGUUCAUCAGUUAAAAAAAAAUUAUUUAACACAAAUUUAACUUUUAUUGCUAUACAAGAAAAUAAAA